UGGGGAAUUUUGGACAAUGGGCGCAAGCCUGAUCCAGCCAUGCCGCGUGAGUGAUGAAGGCCCUAGGGUUGUAAAGCUCUUUCACCGGUGAAGAUAAUGACGGUAAUCGGAGAAGAAGCCCCGGCUAACUUCGUGCCAGCAGCCGCGGUAAUACGAAGGGGGCUAGCGUUGUUCGGAUUUACUGGGCGUAAAGCGCACGUAGGCGGACUUUUAAGUCAGGGGUGAAAUCCCGGGGCUCAACCCCGGAACUGCCUUUGAUACUGGAAGUCUUGAGUAUGGUAGAGGUGGGUGGAAUUCCGGGUGUAGAGGUGAAAUUCGUAGAUAUUCGGAGGAACACCAGUGGCGAAGGCGGCUCACUGGACCAUUACUGACGCUGAGGUGCGAAAGCGUGGGGAGCAAACAGG
rnacentral:rRNA from 1 species